UACGUAGGUGGCAAGCGUUGUCCGGAUUUACUGGGCGUAAAGGGUGCGUAGGCGGACAUUUAAGUCAGAUGUGAAAUACCCGAGCUUAACUUGGGUGCUGCAUUUGAAACUGGGUGUCUAGAGUGCAGGAGAGGUAAGUGGAAUUCCUAGUGUAGCGGUGAAAUGCGUAGAGAUUAGGAAGAACACCAGUGGCGAAGGCGAGUCCCUGGGCAAACCCUGACGCUGAGGCACGAAAGCUAGGGGAGCAAACAGG
rnacentral:rRNA from 1 species